AAUAUGAGCACUUGAAACGGUUUGAAAUUCUGCUUUGUCUAUGCUGCCUACCACCUUCUGCUUGCAUUUGUCACAUAUUUAGAAAUUAAAAGAAAAACUUUAAUUUGGCCUCCUGCCUUAAAUAAUAUACAAUUUUCAUUUUAGUUUCAUAUCAGUUUCAGAAGAGACAUUGCCGACAUCCCAUCAGCACUUUCUGAAAUCAUUAGAUUUUGUUUUAAUGUAGGAAGUAAAUUACAUGGAGAAAAUGAAGGCAGUCAGUUGGAAAGCAAAGAUGUGGCGGACGCCGUGGUAAGAAAAAUAAAGCUCACUGUGCUGAUCAGUUUGUUGUUAAUAUGUUCAUUAU